UACGAAGGGUGCAAGCGUUACUCGGAAUUACUGGGCGUAAAGCGUGCGUAGGUGGUUUGUUAAGUCUGAUGUGAAAGCCCUGGGCUCAACCUGGGAAUUGCAUUGGAUACUGGCAGGCUAGAGUGCGGUAGAGGGUAGUGGAAUUCCCGGUGUAGCAGUGAAAUGCGUAGAGAUCGGGAGGAACACCUGCGGCGAAGGCGGGUUGCUGGGCUGACACUGACGCUGAAGCGCGAAAGCUAGGGGAGCGAACGGG
rnacentral:rRNA from 1 species